CUCAGUGGUAGCUUUAGGCAAGCAACGGAGAGGUUGUGAUGGUGGUGAAAACACCAAGGCCGGCCUACACACAAGGCCGAGUCAUCCACAGCUAUUUGGUGCAGUAAUAUCCGAGCGAGAGAAAUUCGAGGGCGAUUUAACACAUUCCUCGUCGAUAAUCCAUAGUCGCUUCCCCCAAAAUGACAGUCGCGGCCGGCACUCCUCGGCAAAUCAUCGAGAACUCAACGAAACGGCUUGGAUUCUCUUUCCUGCCACAUCCACUUACCGACACACCAAGACGAGAAAUAGGGACAUUUCAAAAAAAGACAUGAAGAGAUAAAUAUCUUCCCCGAAUUGACGGCCUGCCGUUCAUUCCGCCUCGAGCCUUGGCCGACAUGAACCUUUUUUUUUUUUAACUCCGCUUUGAAAUGAUGUGUCACAAGGGUGUUUUUUUUUUUAAUGAAAUCCCAAAGGUAAAUGUCUAUCCUCCUCCUGUUCUGCUAAUAAUACCCGAUGGCAUUUGUGGCUAUUCAAAUAAAAAAGAGGCGCUUCUUGUCUUCUCCGUUA